CAUCCAAGCAUCUAACAGAAAUUUCCGAGACAGAAGAUAAGCUUUAACAAGCUGAGUCUUACAAAAAAUAAAUAAAUAAACCCUAUAAAAGCCUGUACGAGGUCAGGAGAUGACUUCUGCCAAAUGUGAAAUUAAUAUAAACACAUAAGGAUUUUCCUUUUGUUUUUGUUUAAAAAAUUCUGGCCUGAACCCUGCUUAUUCAGAUAAAAUUUUCAUUACAUUUCUAUAGUGCUUAUAAAGAGCUGCGAAGUGAGAGAACAUUCAUACCAUGCUAUUUCUCCUGUCCAGAGGUACUUAAGAGCUCUCACUUUCUUUUCUACUUAGACUUCAUGCUUUAUGCCUUAAAAGGGAAAUAGCAAAAAUAAGGAGUCUAAAAAUUUCAUGCGUUUAAAUAAGCAUCCAGGCUAAUCCCCACAAGACUGCUCUUUUUUGUUUUUCACUUAGGUUCUGUCCACAAAUUUGCCCUAAAUCAAUCAUGUUAAACGGCAGUUCUCUUAACGCUGGGUCACUGGCCAAACCAUGUUAAAAUCUGGUUUUCCUAGAACAUUGCUUAGGGUGAGCUUAAAGAGUUUCCAGACUUGGUUCCUUUUCUAGUGUGAAAAAAGAGGAAUGAAAACCCACAAAAACAGUAAGGAUGUCUUCUGCACUACCGGCUUAAUUUCCAGACAGUUACGGAACAACUCAUUGGUGGGUGGUGCAGUUUAGUGGUAUGAUGGCAUCCAGACUGUCUCAGCCAAUCACCAGAUAGUUGGUUUUCAUUCAUAUACAUCCUGUAAUUCCACUGGUUAAGUAAACAGAACCCAAUACAUGGCACACGUAUACUGGUUAGCUGAAUUCAGACCACAUCAGCACUGAGAAAACUGAUGAUUUUGAAAGAGGAGGGAAAAAUAACAUAGCCGUUCCUUCCCCAACCUAGGCUUCCUCCUGACAAGACAGUGAUAAAAAUGGCUGGCCCAAUCUUUAACAUCAAUCGCAAAAGGGCAGGGGGGCUGUGUGUGGUCAAAACACUGAAGCCUUUCUCUCAGCUGCUGAUCACAGACGAAGAACUGGUGGAGAGUGAGAAGAAAUUUACUGAGAGGCUAGGCCACAAGUGAAUUGCUGCCCACAAGCAACAAGGAGGAAGCAGGAAAGGAAUUGUGGUUUAAAAGAACUGGAAGCUGACUCUCCUACACCGAGAAGACGUGGUAGACCAGUGUGGCUUGAUCAACGAAAAACAGCACUUCUUCAGCCUCACUGGUUUCUGCAGAAUUGAGAACUUCAUCUAUAGUUCAAGAAAAAAGUUUAUGACCUGAUGACCAGGGAUCCGGGUUUUCCAUUUCCUUCAGAGAGACGUGGAUUUUCCCCUUUAAAGGAGAAAAAUGAGGAUUUUCCCCUCUGAAGCGGGGAACUGUAGGUUUCCCCUUUAGCAAACAGCUUUCCACAGGCUGGCAGAGUCCCAGCCCGCAACAAGCUGCUUGCAAAAAGGGUACAAAAUCCUAAAACCUUUCUGCUAGAGAGAGGGGAGAGAAAGGGGGAGGAGGAGAAGGAGGGGAUUAAGCAGGGGUGGGCAAAAUGUGCCCCAUGGGCUUGAUCCAGCCCACCAGG